AUACGGAGGAUGCAAGCGUUAUCCGGAUUUAUUGGGUUUAAAGGGUGCGUAGGCGGAUGAUUAAGCGUGAGGUGAAAUGCCACUGCUCAACAGUGGAACUGCCUCGCGAACUGGUUGUCUUGAAUGCUCCUGCCGUGGGAGGAAUGUGUGGUGUAGCGGUGAAAUGCAUAGAGAUCACACAGAACACCGAUUGCGAAGGCAUCUCACGAAGGGGUGAUUGACGCUGAGGCACGAAAGCGUGGGGAUCAAACAGGAUUAGAUACCCUGGUAGUCCACGCAGUAAACGAUGAUAACUAACCGCUGGGUCGUAGUGAUUCAGUGGCCAAGCGAAAGCGAUAAGUUAUCCACCUGGGGAGUACGACCGCAAGGUUGAAACUUAAAUGAAUUGGCGGGG
rnacentral:rRNA from 1 species